AUUAAAUAAACAAAAAAUUGUGUUUCAUAUACAACAUUUGAUCAUUAGCGUAUAUCAAUAUUUUUAUUUGAAAAUUUAGAACUAUUACACUUACAAACCCUAACGAAUUCGUUCCUGUUAAAUUCUAGGAUGUCUCUCCAUAAACAUUGUCAGUUUAUCACUGCAUUUAUCAUCGACGUGCGACAUUUAAACAGCUUUAGUUUUUGUUAAUAAAGAAUUUUCUUAAAAAUUGGCUAUACUUUCUUGUUGAAAUCUACUUUGCCAAAGAAUACAGGAUUAAAAGUUUUGUUGAAUGAUUAAAGCUUCUAUACUUUUAAUAUAGUGGUCAUAAUUGACUAAAAGCCAGAUUUCCUUUUAAUAAAAUAAAUUGUACAAUGAAAUAUUAUUUUUUUAAUUAGAUUAUCAACUCACGGUAUGAAGACUGCUUCCCAUAUCAGUUACAAUGUACUAUGUUCAAAAUAGAAUGAAGCUCACGAACAAUUUAAAGUAAAGUAUCUAACUUUAUCCAUUAUUUCCUUUAACAACACUCAUCUGUUGUCCAAGUAAAAUUCACUCAUUAAAAAAUAUCCGACUAUCUUUACUUAUUUAAUGGAGUAAUUGUUAGUUAAUAAAAUAUAGCCUAGUUUCUCAAAAAAUAAUUUUUGCUUAAAAGGAAAUUUUGAUAAAAGUACAACAACGAAAUUUCUUUUUGUGGUCUUUUGUACUAAAAAAAAACAUUACAUUUAAUUUUUAUUUCUUGUUUGUUGCUUUAACUUAGGUUUAGUAUAGAGAUAAAACCGUUUCAGUAACAAAUAAAAAGAUUUGUACAUUUAUAGUUGAUUUCCAUGCUGUGCUUUUCGUGGUAUAUCGAUUAUCCCUAAAACUAUAAAGUGUAAAAUGUUAGCUAAUCCACCACAGUAUCCAAUAUGACUAAAGUCUUUAUUGAUUAAAAUGAAUGAGUACAGAAGAAGUGUUAGAAAAGCUUUGGUCGCUUUUUAUAAUAAAGAUUCUCAGGCAUUGUUUGGGUUACACCGACAUGUGCGUGUACAUAAACGCAGGAUGAAAAACAAUCUUAUAAAUUUUUAAUAAUAUGUAAUGAUGGCCACAGGGCAAUACAUUUAUAUAAUUUCAGUAUUAGAUAUUUCUGAAUUUAUACAUUAUUGGAGUAUUUUUUUUUAUGAAUCGGAAAUGCUAGUCAUCUAGGUUUUAUUAUUGCAACAAUCUGUAGUACUUUACAUGAUUCAAUAUAUUAUAGAAAAAAAGGAAAAGCAUUAAAACUCAU